CAGCAGCCGCGGUAAUGCGAAGGGGGCUAGCGUUGUUCGGAUUAACUGGGCGUAAAGGGCACGUAGGCGGAUCCUUAAGUCAGAGGUGAAAUCCCAAGGCUCAACCUUGGAACUGCCUUUGAUACUGGGGAUCUCGAGUUCGGGAGAGGUGAGUGGAACUGCGAGUGUAGAGGUGAAAUUCGUAGAUAUUCGCAAGAACACCAGUGGCGAAGGCGGCUCACUGGACCGACACUGACGCUGAGGCGCGAAAGCGUGGGGAGCAAACAGGAUUAGAUACCCCUGUAGUCCCUGUCUCUUAUAC
rnacentral:rRNA from 1 species